rnacentral:rRNA from 1 species
UACGAGGGGGCAAGCGUUGGUCGGGAUUAUUGGGCGUUAAGGGUUCGGAGGCGGUCUGGUAAGUCAUCUGUGAAAUCUAUGGGCUCAACCCAUAGUCUGCAGGCGAAACUGCCAUGCCUGAGUGCGGGAGAGGCGAGUGGAAUUACAGGUGUAGCGGUGAAAUGCGUAGAUAUCUGUAGGAACACCCGUGGCGAAGGCGGCUCGCUGGACCGCAACUGACGCUGAGGAACGAAAGCUAGGGGAGCAACCAGG